CCUACACGAAGCUGGAAUCGCUAGUAAUCGCGGAUCAGCACGCCGCGGUGAAUACGUUCCCGGGCCUUGUACACACCGCCCGUCACACCAUGAGAGUCUGUAACACCCAAAGCCGGUGGGAUAACCUUUAUAGGAGUCAGCCGUCUAAGGUAGGACAGAUGAUUAGGGUGAAGUCGUAACAAGGUACC
rnacentral:rRNA from 1 species